GGAGGGGUGGCCGAGUGGUUGAAGGCAGCGGUCUUGAAAACCGCCGUGCGUUAAUAGCGUACCGUGGGUUCGAAUCCCACCCCCUCCG
rnacentral:tRNA from 1 species